AGGACGAACGCUGGCGGCGUGCUUAACACAUGCAAGUCGAGCGGAAAGGCCCUUCGGGGUACUCGAGCGGCGAACGGGUGAGUAACACGUGAGCAACCUGCCCUUAGCUCUGGGAUAGCUCCGGGAAACCGGAAUUAAUACCGGAUAUGACCUAGGCCGACAUCGGCCGUGGUGGAAAGUUUUUCGGCUAGGGAUGGACUCGCGGCCUAUCAGCUAGUUGGUGGGGUAAUGGCCUACCAAGGCGACGACGGGUAGCCGGGCCUGAGAGGGCGACCGGCCACACUGGGACUGAGACACGGCCCAGACUCCUACGGGAGGCAGCAGUGGGGAAUCUUGCGCAAUGGGCGAAAGCCUGACGCAGCGACGCCGCGUGGGGGAUGAAGGCCUCGGGUUGUAAACCCCUUUCAGCAGGACGAAGCGAAAGUGACGGUACCUGCAGAAGAAGCGCCGGCUAACUACGCGCCAGCAGCCGC
rnacentral:rRNA from 1 species